CUCCCUUCCCUUCCUUCUUUCUCUUGAUGCCCCACCUUUUUCUCAGAUGAGAUCUGAUCUAGAGAGAGAUUAGAGAGAGAAAAAAAGAAGGAAAGAGAAAGAUUCUCAUCUCUUCUUGGCAUUCUAGAAGCCAUCUCCCUCGAUUCAGUGCGAAAGAGUUCGCAUAGGGAUCUUCUCCUUCUAGAUCUUGAAGGAAAAAUCCAGAUCCAAGCCAACGAGCGAGGUCUG
rnacentral:lncRNA from 1 species